UGAGUAACCUGCCCUUAACUCUGGGAUAAGCCUGGGAAACUGGGUCUAAUACCGGAUAUGACUCCUCAUCGCAUGGUGGGGGGUGGAAAGCUUUAUUGUGGUUUUGGAUGGACUCGCGGCCUAUCAGCUUGUUGGUGAGGUAAUGGCUCACCAAGGCGACGACGAGUAGCCGGCCUGAGAGGGUGACCGGCCACACUGGGACUGAGACACGGCCCAGACCUCCGUACGGGGAGG
rnacentral:rRNA from 1 species